ACCCUACGGGACGCAGCAGUGAGGAAUAUUGGUCAAUGGCCGGGAGGCUGAACCAGCCAAGUCGCGUGAGGGAAGACGGCCCUACGGGUUGUAAACCUCUUUUGUCAGGGAGCAAGAGGCGGGUCGAGACCUGCUGUGAGAGUACCUGAAGAAAAAGCAUCGGCUAACUCCGUGCCAGCAGCCGCGGGAAUACGGAGGAUGCGAGCGUUAUCCGGAUUUAUUGGGGUUAAAGGGUGCGUAGGCGGGCGUUUUAGUAAGCGGGAAAAAUUCGGGG
rnacentral:rRNA from 1 species